UCACUUUCCCUCAUUUCUUUUCUCUCUAGUUUCACUUUUUCCCUCGUUUCACCUUUUCACUUUCCCUCGUUUCACUUCUCUCUAAUUUCUCUGAUUUUUGAACAAAAUAAGUUUGAAUAGCUUCUUCAUGGCCAGAAUCUCUUUCAGUUCCUUCAUGGCCCUCAUUUUUUUAUUCAAUCAAAUAAGCUCUUUCGGUCAAAUCCUGAACCGCGUUUCGUUUCUCGUUGCCGAAUCGCUUUUCAUUUCUCGUUGCUGAAUCACUUUCCAUUUGAAUCCCUUUUCUGUUUCAAUCCCCAUUGAAGGUAAGUAUCCAUCGAACCCUCAUUCUAACCUAGAAUCCAUCGAAAACGCUAAUUGUUUACUUAAUUCAUGCAACAAUGAACAUGGUUGGCUGAAGCAAGAACAAGAAUCAACAAAGAAGAAGAGAUUGAAACUUAGAAUAAGAAGGUAAUUGGAUUGUUGCCAAUCUGUAGAAAGACCACUGGAACUGGUAGGAUGAGGUACAUUAUUAUGAAGAGUUUAAUGUUUUUUCCUUGUGAUCUACAUUUUUAUUUUUGCUAAUAUGUAGGCAAAUAUCAUUCUCUUCAACCGUAACAUGAUCUACAUUAUUAGUAUGAAGAGUUUAAUUUCAUUGUUGAUUAAUUUAAGGAAUUGGAUAAAAGAUAGAAAUAAAAUUGUGUCAUGAGCUUGUUAUACAUAAUAAUUAGAUGUUACUAUGAUCUUCCUAAAGAGGAUCAUGAGUUUGAUUCAUAUCUAUUUGUGUCCAGUGUCCACUAUUAGUUAACUCUCAUUCGCUAAGAUAUUCGCUAUCUGAUUGUGUGUGUGUUGGGUUGCUAAAUCACCCUUCUUGAGAUUCACCAUAAUUUCUUGUCUUUAAACCAUUCUGAAUCACUCAGUAACAACUAACAACCAUUAUUUGUUUCAUCCUUCUGCUAUAACACAUUACUUUGAUAAAUCACAAUAACAUUCUUCCUAUGUUUUUAAGUUUUUUUUUCUUUCUUUUAGGACUAAUACUUUGGCAUGUCAUCAAUGAUCAAAUUCCUAAUUAUACUUUAUCAUAACUUUCUAGCUUCAACUUUUUGAUUGAAAGAAAUAGCUUUUGUUGUUUUAGAUCUACCUUAGUAAGAGAUGCUCACUAGUUUUAUUGUUCAAUUUUCACCCUUAUGUUGGAAUUGUUGUUAUUUUCAAUCCUCGGAUGAAUAAAACUUUAGUUAUUCCCAAUUUUUGCUGCUGUUGAUUUCUCUCUAUAUAUGUGUUUAUUUCAAGGGUGUAAGAACUUCUGCUUUUCAAGAGGAAGUCAAUUAUGAAGCACUUGUAUGAACACACUACCACCUCUUAUUUACCAAUUUCUUUGCAUUUUUCAAUUUUAUUAUUAUUAAUUCUCUUACAAUUUAAACUAAUUAUUUUGGUUAUUCGAUUGAUGAGUUUGAUUUUUUUUUUUUUAAUUGAAGGGGAUUUAUUUGACGAUAAAGUUGCGAUUUUGUGGUAAAACUCUGUUUUUCGUUGUUGUUUUGCUUCCAAGAUGGUGUCAUUUUCAAGAUUAUAGUUUAUGGACAGGAAUCGCGGUUCAAAUUUAGUAUUAGGAUUUUAGUUUAAUAGGUUUCUUCUUAGUGAAAUGGGUAUUUCCUUUUGUGGAAUUCACUGUGACCCUCGAAGGGUCUCUUGUAUUGUAAUCAAAAUUUGAUUUUUGAUUCAAUUUGCUUAGGGUUUGAGGUAUAUUUUUGUUAAAAUGGUUAAUUCAAUUGCUGCAACUUUAAUCCUCGGCUACCGUCCAGUUUGCGGUGGAAAUAUUUUAAACUAAAAUUGUCCGAUAAGGGUUGACUGCUAACUUCCAAUAUUCUAAAGCAUCUGUUUCCGGUGCCAAAACUUGAGGUAAAACAUACAGUCUCUUUUUCCAACAAUUCGGACUAUAUUGAGUUCAGAUUGGUUACAUUUAUCUGUUUUAUGCAUUAAGACUUCUUCACAAUUAGUUGUAUUUACUCAUUUCCUUCUCAUUUAUAACACCUUGUCUGCUGUCAUACAGGGUCCUAACUCUGUAGAAUUGAAGGAAAUUGGUCCACGGUUUGAUUUGCGAUUAUAUCAGGUUUGCGAUGCGAUUAAGUUCACUAUUAAAGAGGAUUGAAGUAAAUUAUCCCAUGGAUUAUAUAACAUGUUUCCACUUAAGUGUGUUUUGUUUCAGGAAGGCUCUAUCUAAACAUAUGUAUUCUUUAUCUUCACAAUUUAUAUGUAUAAUAUCAAACUUCUUUGUUAAUCCUUUUAGAGAAACAUCUAUUUUUCCAUUUACUCACAAGUUCAGGAGCUUAUUUUCUCCUUUCUGAACUAUAUGUCAUGGUAAUACACGUCUAUAAAUGAUUUCACUUUAGUUGCCUACUAUGUAAUUUGUGUGCAUCAGUAUAUGACGAUUGCUGAUGGCUUUGGUGUGUGUAUCUUUAGGAAAAGCCCAUUCAGUCGAAGUGGAUAAGAUAUUGUUCAAGGAAAAGUCAUUAUACCAAGAGGUCUUGGAUUUUGAGCCAUUAACAUAUGCGAAAGUUCUUGUGCUUGAUGGGAUUUUUCAGUUGACUGAGAAGGAUGAACGUGCUUACCAGGAGAUGAUAACUCAUCUUCCCCUCUGUUCCAUUCAGUCCCCAAAAACUGUAAAUUUUUUUUUUCUGAUCAUCACUGUAUUGAGUCUCAACUUAUAUAGUGUCUCAUUGUUGAACAUAAUAUUGAAGUGCCUUUGUUUCAAAUUAAAAAGAAAAACGUACUUUAUAUCACUCGGGGACAUGAAAUUGCAGAUUUACGUGCUUCCUUUGAUA